GUGAGAGGAAGGGAGGAACGAGGACCGCGUGGAAGGAGAGGAAAUUUUAGGUCUAAGAGAGAGGAAUAACAGAAGAAAGAGACGAGGAUCUGAGGGAUGGAGAUGAUGGAGACUGGAAUGUGGGGGUCCAGGAAGGAUUCUUGCCCUUGGAACUCAGCCACCAUGUCAUGAGGAAUACCAGGCCACUUGGAGAAGUCAUGUGUAAAUGUUCCAGCUGAUAGCCAACAUCAAUAGCUAAAGUUCUAGCCAACAUCCUGCAUCAACUGCAAGACAUGAACUCCCAGCUAAAGAGUAUAGAAAGAUACAUAGCAAAUAUCCCAAAAGGAAGAAAACUGAGAGAAGACUUCCAACAGAGGCUCUCAAGCAAAGGACUGUGUGUCUACUACCAGUUUUGACAUCUGGAUGUCAUGGCAUGAAUAAAGAAUAGAGAAUCCACAAAUCCUAAAGACAAGCCACUUUCUUUACAGAUGAAAGGUUACUGGAAAAGCUGCGGGGUUUGCGGCUGGGAAGAUACUGUCUAAUGUGUCAUCUGCUACAAUGGUCAAUGUGAAAAAUGUUUCUACUUUUACUAAUCCGUUCAGAUGGUAUCUUUCAUGAGGAUCACAUGCUAACACAUCUUCACUAUUUAGUCUUAUUGUGCAAUCUUCUCACGCUCCCCUAAAUUUGAAUACUGAAGUGAACCUUGGUUGGCCCUACUUUAUGGGUCCCAACUCUCCACUUUUGGAAUCAACUUGUUAAUAAAUUCUCCUCUUUCCUACCUCAGGGCAAUAGUAGGUGGAAGAAACUCUAAUUUUAAAAGGAUUACAACUGAAAGUUACUCUGACUCUAUUGCUAAGAGGUGUGAUCAGCGCAGUCAUUUGCAAAACCAUCUGAGCCGAGCGGGUCAGAUUCAGGGGUGAAAGACAAAUGCCUAAAACCUGGAGGUGUGAAUGGUGUGCAUCUUGUAAUGUAUGCAUGAGCAGAAAUGAUGGCCUUGGAGAGAUAAGCCAGCUCCCCUCUUAUUCUGUUUACUGAUUCCUGUCUGUGAAAUUUUAAAUUCCACAUGUACUAUAAUGCAAACGAUGGCGGAGGGAUGCUCUCAUGUCUCUCUCUCUCUCUCUCUCUCUCUCUCUCUCUCACACACA